AGUGGGAUAGCUGGGUCAAAUGGUGGUUCCAUUCCAAGUUUUCUAAGAUAUCUCCAUAUGGCUUUCCAAAGUGGUUGUACCAUUUGCAACUCCACCAGCAAU
rnacentral:pre_miRNA from 1 species